rnacentral:rRNA from 1 species
UACGUAGGGUGCGAGCGUUGUCCGGAAUUACUGGGCGUAAAGAGCUCGUAGGUGGUUUGUCGCGUUGUUCGUGAAAACUCACAGCUCAACUGUGGGCGUGCGGGCGAUACGGGCAGACUAGAGUACUGCAGGGGAGACUGGAAUUCCUGGUGUAGCGGUGGAAUGCGCAGAUAUCAGGAGGAACACCGAUGGCGAAGGCAGGUCACUGGGCCGCAACUGACGCUGAGGAGCGAAAGCAUGGGGAGCGAACAGG